rnacentral:rRNA from 1 species
UACGGAGGAUGCAAGCGUUAUCCGGAUUUAUUGGGUUUAAAGGGUGCGUAGGCGGAAUUGUAAGUCAGUGGUGAAAUCCCGUAGCUUAACUAUGGAACUGCCAUUGAUACUGCUAUUCUUGAAUGUAGUUGAGGUAGGCGGAAUGUGUGGUGUAGCGGUGAAAUGCAUAGAUAUCACACAGAACACCGAUUGCGAAGGCAGCUUACUAAACUAUUAUUGACGCUGAGGCACGAAAGCGUGGGGAGCGAACAGG